AUUGAACGCUGGCGGCAUGCCUUACACAUGCAAGUCGAACGGCAGCACGGGUGCUUGCACCUGGUGGCGAGUGGCGAACGGGUGAGUAAUACAUCGGAACAUGUCCUGUAGUGGGUGAUAGCCCGGCGAAAGCCGGAUUAAUACCGCAUACGAUCUACGGAUGAAAGCGGGGGACCUUCGGGCCUCGCGCUAUAGGGUUGGCCGAUGGCUGAUUAGCUAGUUGGUGGGGUAAAGGCCUACCAAGGCGACGAUCAGUAGCUGGUCUGAGAGGACGACCAGCCACACUGGGACUGAGACACGGCCCAGACUCCUACGGGAGGCAGCAGUGGGGAAUUUUGGACAAUGGGCGAAAGCCUGAUCCAGCAAUGCCGCGUGUGUGAAGAAGGCCUUCGGGUUGUAAAGCACUUUUGUCCGGAAAGAAAUCCUUGGCCCUAAUACGGUCGGGGGAUGACGGUACCGGAAGAAUAAGCACCGGCUAACUACGU
rnacentral:rRNA from 1 species